ensembl:lncRNA
GGAGCGUGCGAGCAGGGCGGCUGCGCCGGGAGAACAGCGCAGAUGGGCAAUGGCUGCGAAUGGCCACAUCCCACUGGCCUGGUGGCCCGGCGGGGACGUUUGUCACCGUCUGCCGGAGCAGCGACACGAGGAGAGCGGAUGGGAAAUCAAUACGGAGACUGCGAGCCGCGGGACUCGGGGACCCGCUGCGCCAGGACCUUUUAUUGGAUUUGCCAUCUUCCUCAUUGUUCCUCUGCUGUUUUUUUUGUAUCCCCUUCUUGCUUUUUAUGGUGCAGAAUUGGAUUUGACUCGAUUUUCCUUCGUAUUGCGCUGCAGCCAGCCUGGCGCAGCAGCACCACGAGCCCCAGC